rnacentral:lncRNA from 1 species
CUAGCUUUUGUCAAGUUGACAGACUGACCAGCACAGCCUAUUUCCACACAGUGCUGUCCAGAGGAUGGAGUGGAUUUGGCCUGUGAACUUUAGUCUGUCAGUCUCCGGGAUGAACGGACUUGCAGAAAUGGGUGAAAGGGUGGACACCUGUGUAUUGUACUUUAUUGACCCCAGGGAAUCUAUCACCCCGGUGGCUGGAAGAUUUGGAAUUUGUCUCACUGGUGCUCCCUUGUACGUGCAUGAGGACCUGAAUUUGAAUCCCCGGAAUCUGUGUAAAGGCUGCCAUGUCACCUCAGCAUCUAAUCCCAGCACUCCUGUAAUGAGACAGGAACAGGAGCUCGGAGGCUCCCAGCUAGCCUGGGAGAGGAAAUAGAGACAUACAAAUCCCUAA